rnacentral:rRNA from 1 species
UACGUAGGGGGCGAGCGUUAUCCGGAUUUACUGGGCGUAAAGCGCGUUUAAGGCGGCCGACAAAGUUUGGUGGUGAAAUUUUCAGGGCUCAACUCUGAAACUGCCUCCAAUACUGGUCGGCUUUGAGUGCGAUAGAGGAAGGUGGAAUUCCCGGUGUAGUAGUGAAAUGCGUAGAUAUCGGGAGGAACACCAGUGGCGAAGGCGGCCUUCUGGCUCGCAACUGACGCUGUAGCGCGAAAAGCGUGGGGGAGCGAACGGGG